rnacentral:lncRNA from 1 species
CAGCACAGGGGUCAACGACUCGCAGCUAUUCAACUCAAAACACCACGGCCCAGAAAGAGAGGGCGGGAUGCAUUCAGCCACACAGGAGGCAUGAUAUUCUCUCGUGUUUUUCUCUUUCGCUUUCUGUUUUUUUUUCUCCCAUCUUCUCAACCGCCGCAGAGCAGACAGGCUGGGUAGUUGGGGAAUAGUUGAACACUGAGUAGAGAGGACCGCGUCCACCUCGAGCCCUCCAGAGCCAUGCAUAGCAAGAACCAGAGGAGACACUGCUCACCCAGCAGCUCCAGGACCCCUCUAGUUCCUGUCAAGGCCAAGAUGUCGGUGGGCCAGAGUGAGGUGGAGCCCCUUCCCUUCCGGGUUCCUUGCGAUUACCCACACUCACGCUUCAGCAAGGCGCCGCUGGCCGUCUAUCCACCC